GGGAACGUCUGCUGGAGCCUUCGCGUUCUCCGUUUGGCUCCGGCUGUUCCCACCUCGCGCAGAACCUCCUCGAAGAGCUCUCGGCCGCUUCGUUCUCUCCAAUCCGCGGUGUGGCUUUCCGGGGCCUCUCUCCCUUAUGUUAAAACAACAACAACCCUCCAGCGCUCCCCAGUCCUCGCGGAAGGAGUGACACCGUCCUAGAUGCCACAGAUCGGUCCCUGUCAGCCUUCUGCCCGGGUGUGGUCUUCACACUCGCCACUCCUCUGCCUGGAUCAAUCCCCCCACCCUGCACCUCUUACCUUUUU